rnacentral:rRNA from 1 species
AGCGAACGCUGGCGGCAGGCUUAACACAUGCAAGUCGAGCGGGCACUUUCGGGUGUCAGCGGCGGACGGGUGAGUAACGCGUGGGAACGUGCCCUCUGGUUCGGAAUAACUCAGGGAAACUUGAGCUAAUACCGGAUACGCCCUUUUGGGGAAAGGCUUGCUGCCGGAGGAUCGGCCCGCGUGUGAUUAGCGAGUUGGUGAGGUAACGGCUCACCAAGGCGACGAUUAGUAGCUGGUCUGGGAGGAUGAUCAGCCACACUGGGACUGAGACACGGCCCAGACUCCUACGGGAGGCAGCAGUGGGGAAUAUUGGACGAUGGGCGCAAGCCUGAUCCAGCCAUGCCGCGUGAGUGAUGAAGGCCUUAGGGUUGUAAAGCUCUUUUAUCCGGGACGAUAAUGACGGUACCGGAGGAAUAAGCCCCGGCUAACUUCGUG